AUACGGAGGGCGCAAGCGUUGCCCGGAAUCACUGGGUGUAAAGGGUGCGUAGGCGGGGCUGUAAGUCAGAGGUGAAAGCCCUCGGCUCAACCGGGGAAUUGCCUCUGAUACUGCAGCUCUUGAGUCCCGGAGAGGCCGCUGGAAUUCCUGGUGUAGCGGUGAAAUGCGUAGAUAUCAGGAGGAACACCGGAGGCGAAGGCGGGCGGCCGGACGGGGACUGACGCUGAGGCACGAAAGCGUGGGGAGCAAACAGGAUUAGAAACCCUAGUAGUCC
rnacentral:rRNA from 1 species